rnacentral:rRNA from 1 species
GACAGAGGUUGCAAACGUUGUUCGGAAUUACUGGGCAUAAAGAGCGCGCAGGCGGUCGAUCAAGUCGAGUGUGAAAGCCCCCGGCUCAACUGGGGAGGGUCAUUCGAUACUGAUCGACUCGAAGGCAGGAGAGGGAAGUGGAAUUCCCGGUGUAGUGGUGAAAUGCGUAGAUAUCGGGAGGAACACCAGUGGCGAAGGCGACUUCCUGGCCUGUUCUUGACGCUGAGGCGCGAAAGCUAGGGGAGCAAACGGG